AGGAAAAUAGCUAAACUCUGUGGCGUUAUCAUCGUGUUGUCCUAGUGAUGUCCUUAACUUUGAAUUGAAUCUACAACGCGUUUGAUCCUGACUAUACAAUGGUCUGUUUGAUUUCCCAUAGAUAGCUGGUAGGAAUGCAGAUAAAAAAAACUUAACAAGUUUAGAGAUCAAAAUAUGUAAAUCAAUAGUUUCAAGACAAGGAUCAAGGUAUAUAAGUCAAAAUGGAACCUAGAUGCCAUUACGGUUGACGCUAAAACAUGCUACGACACGAGCACGUCCACGUGCAAGCUGCAGGGGUCCUCCUUGCAACACCUUUGCGAAAACCGAUCUAGGCCUCGUUUAGUUCAUCCUGAAAACCAAAAAGUUUUCAAGAUUUUCUGUCACAUCAAAUCUGAUUGGAUAAUAUUUAUCACAAACAAACGAAAGUGCUACAGUAUCGAAAAGUUUUCACUUUUCGAAACUAAACAAGGCCCUAAUCAGUUUUCAUGAAUCGUCCUGACCAGUUUCGACAGGCUUGAACCAAAGAAUGCUCGCUCGGAAACGACCCAGGGGAUCUCGGCAGGAGAAACACAAUAAUGAAAUCCAUUUUACAAUUCGGUGUAAAAAAACUUGCCUAAAAACAAUCAACAAACAAAUAUAGGGAAAGUUGGUGCACUUUAUUGUUUUUGGAAUGUAGGUUUUUUGACUGCAUUCCCACCAGCCAUCUAUGGGUCACUAGUGAGUUUUAUUUUGACGUGUGAUCAAUGAUGAUAUGAACGAUUAAUUGUGAAAAUUCAGUAACAUGGACGCUAUAUAGAUGAAAUUAAACAGAUCAACACUAUCAGAGACGUCUGGACGACUCGAGUGAAUACGUAGAUAAAUAGGUCAGGGGACUAGGUGAGACAACCCAACAAAUCCACUGUCAAAGUGCCAAUAUACUUUACUCUCUCUAAAAAAAAUCCACUGCACCACGCCACGCCACCAGCAGAAUCUACUCGACAAGGAGACGAGACGAGGCUGGGUUGUGCAGGAAGGGGGGCUUUACUUACGAGUUACGCGAUCGGGAGCGCUGCCGCAGUCCGGCCUCGGCCGGCCGGCCGGCCAGGAGGGGAAGAAGUGUCGCCUCUCCGUGACUCCAUAGCGGCGGAGAGGGGCGGCGUGCCUUGGGGUUCCGUUUCUGGGCGGCGGCGGUCUGCUGUCUGGUGGACUGGGCCGCGCAUGUACGCUCACCGUGACUGAUCUGGGCCG
rnacentral:lncRNA from 1 species